CUUACCAAACCGAUGCAAACUCUGAAUACCAGUAAGUUCAAUCACGGGAGACAGACGGCGGGUGCUAACGUCCGUCGUCGAGAGGGCAACAACCCAGACCACCAGCUAAGGUCCCAAAUAUCAGUUCAGUGGGAAACGAUGUGGGAAGGCUUAGACAGCUAGGAGGUUGGCUUAGAAGCAGCCACCCUUUAAAGAAAGCGUAAUAGCUCACUGGUCGAG
rnacentral:rRNA from 1 species